rnacentral:ncRNA from 1 species
CGACCUCAGAUCAGGCGGGACUACCCGCCGGAUUUAAGCAUAUUAAUAAGCGGAGGAAAAGAAAACAACCGUGAUUCCCUUAGUAGCGGCGAGCGAACCGGGAAAAGCCCAUCGCCGAAUCUCGCCGCGCACUUUUGUGUCGCGGCACGUAUGAGAGUUGUGGCGUACGGGCCGGCCUCGUUGCCGGGGCGCACGUGACGGUCCAAGUCUCCCUUGAACGGGGCCAUGGCCCGCAGAUGGUGCCAGGCCAGUAGAGGCCGUCACAGCGUUCCGGGAUCGGACCGCGCCUUCGAGUCGGGUUGCUUGAGAGUGCAGCCCGAAGCGGGUGGUAAACUCCAUCUAAGGCUAAAUACGGCCACGAGACCGAUAGUUUACAAGUACCGUGAGGGAAAGUUGAAAAGAACUUGAAGAGAGAGUUCAUAAGAACGUGAAACCGCUCGGUGUAAACGGACAGAGCUCGCGAAUCCCCGCCGGGCGAAUUCACGGUCGGUCUAACCGCCGGCCGGAUCUUUCGCUCGGUUAGCGGACGUCGCGACCCGUUGGGCGCCGGCCGAAUGGCCCGGGUGACGUUCGUCGCGUCGGUCGCGUUUCGGCGUGACCGUUCGCGCCGAGCCCCGGUGCUCAUGGUCGGCUCGCCCGACGGCAAGAACCGUCGACGCGGCCCCGUCGCAGGCGGGGUCCCGUCGGUCGGCGACGUGUUUCGAGCUACUUUCCGACCCGUCUUGAAACACGGACCAAGGAGUCUAACGUGUGCGCGAGUCAACGGUGAUCUUACGAAAAACCACGUUUGGCGCAAUGAAAGUGAACCGUUUACGGUGCGGACGAUGGCCUAGCGACCGAACCCACCGGCGUUCAAAGUCGCGCUGGUCCGCAGUCCGGGGGCGUCUCCGCCAAGUCGGCUUCGGCCGGCUGGGGGCGCACCCUUAGCGCACACGUUGGUACCCGAAAGAUGGUGAACUAUGCCUGGCCAGGAUGAAGUCAGGGGAAACCCUGAUGGAGGUCCGCAGCGAUUCUGACGUGCAAAUCGAUCGUCUGAGCUGGGUAUAGGGGCGAAAGACUAAUCGAACCAUCUAG